AGGACGAACGCUGGCGGCGUGCUUAACACAUGCAAGUCGAACGGUGAUGUAGCACUUGUGUUACGGAUCAGUGGCGAACGGGUGAGUAACACGUGAGUAACCUGCCCCAGACUCUGGGAUAACUCCGGGAAACCGGUGCUAAUACUGGAUAUGACGCCAAGCCGCAUGGUUAUGGUGUGGAAAGAUUUUUUGGUCUGGGAUGGGCUCGCGGCCUAUCAGCUUGUUGGUGAGGUAGUGGCUUACCAAGGCGACGACGGGUAGCCGGCCUGAGAGGGCGAUCGGCCACACUGGGACUGAGACACUGCCCAGACUCCUACGGGGGCUGCAGUAACGAAUCUUCCGCAAUGCACGCAAGUGUGACGGAGCGACGCCGCGUGUGGGACGAAGUCCUUCGGGAUGUAAACCACUGUCAGGGGUAAGAAAGUUCUGAUCUACCCCAGAGGAAGGCACGGCUAACUCUGCGCCAGCAGCCGCGGU
rnacentral:rRNA from 1 species